GUGCGCGCUCUUUGUUGCAUUAUUUAUGUUUAUUAUUGUUGUAUAAUAUAUGGAAAUUUUACUGGCAGUCUAUGCACCAUAUGUUUUUGCUGGACGAGUUGUGGUGGCGCUAUGACUACGGAGAGUCAUGGACGACCAACCCAACUUAUGUGACCUGUCUCGCCAAACGUGCCACGGAUGACCUCUUCAGUAGCUUGCUUUAUCAGAAAAAGAAAGAGUGUGCCUCUAAAGAAGAGCGGUACAUACGCCCCAUUGCAUUCAAAGUACACCAUCACCCCUGCAGCUGCAAGUUGUUUUUCAUACGCAGCAUAUGCUUAUAUCCUAUGAAGUCCGGACACUACCAACAGAUCGUUGCGAAGCAGGAGCUGAUUCGCACUUCUUGAAAGAAUACUGCGACUCCAUUGCUGGGCUGAGCGAGAGGUGCCACCAUGUUGAUACCUUGAUGUUUGCCCUCAUCAAUGUAAAGUCACCCUCCUGAACUGAUAUGCCGGGGAAAUGGAUGGCACCGAGCCAAGUUAACUCCUUGUCAUCGCAAGCUACAAUGAAAAUAUAUUUUGACAAACACUGAAGAGUACAAGUUAUCACUAUGAGUGUGCUGGAUAUUAUGCUCAAAGAGGUUCAGCUGCUGCCCGUAUUUGUGCAGCUGCUGAACAAUUUUGGAGGCUUGAUACGUUAUUGCUGCGAAUCUUUCAGAAAAAAAUGUGCAUGUAGGAUGUCCAGCUCACGAUGCAAAUUAAACAGACAUAACCCAUACGACAGAGCACGUUGCAUAAAGCUGCGUUUUGUAACUGGGUCAUUUCGGCCUAUAAAUAAAAAAUUGUGAGAGCAGCGCA